CCUACGGGAGGCAGCAGUGAGGAAUAUUGGUCAAUGGCCGGAAGGCUGAACCAGCCAAGUCGCGUGAGGGAAGACGGCCCUACGGGUUGUAAACCUCUUUUGUAAGGGAGCAAGGUGCAGGUCGGGACCUGCUGUGCGAGUACCUGAAGAAUAAGCAUCGGCUAACUCCGUGCCAGCAGCCGCGGUAAUACGGAGGAUGCGAGCGUUAUCCGGAUUUAUUGGGUUUAAAGGGUGCGCAGGCGGAGGCACAAGUCAGCGGUAAAAUCGCGGGGCUCAACCCCGCUCCGCCGUUGAAACUGUGUCCCUUGAGUGCGCGAAGGGUAGGCGGAAUGCGUGGUGUAGCGGUGAAAUGCAUAGAUAUGACGCAGAACUCCGAUCGCGAAGGCAGCCUGCCGGCGCGCAACUGACGCUCAUGCACGAAAGCGUGGGUAUCGAACAGGAUUAGAUACCCUUGUAGUC
rnacentral:rRNA from 1 species